rnacentral:rRNA from 1 species
UACAGAGGUCUCAAGCGUUGUUCGGAUUCAUUGGGCGUAAAGGGUGUGUAGGUGGCGCCGUAAGUCGGGUGUGAAAUUUCGGAGCUUAACUCCGAAACUGCAUCGAUACUGCGGUGCUUGAGGACUGGAGAGGAGACUGGAAUUCAUGGUGUAGCAGUGAAAUGCGUAGAGAUCAUGAGGAAGACCAGUGGCGAAGGCGGGUCUC